rnacentral:rRNA from 1 species
GAUGAACGCUAGCGGGAGGCUUAACACAUGCAAGUCGAGGGGCAUCACGGGUAGCAAUACCUGGUGGCGACCGGCAGACGGGUGAGUAACGCGUAUGUAACCUACCCUGUACAGGGGGAUAACCCGGAGAAAUUCGGACUAAUAUCCCAUAAUGAUAUCUGGGGGCAUCUUCGGAUAUUUAAAGUUCCGGCGGUACAGGAUGGGCAUGCGUAACAUUAGCUAGUUGGUAAGGUAACGGCUUACCAAGGCUUUGAUGUUUAGGGGUCCUGAGAGGGUGGUCCCCCACACUGGUACUGAGACACGGACCAGACUCCUACGGGAGGCAGCAGUGAGGAAUAUUGGUCAAUGGGCGCAAGCCUGAACCAGCCAUCCCGCGUGCAGGAAGACGGCCCUAUGGGUUGUAAACUGCUUUUGUGCGAGAAUAAUAUGCCUUACGAGUAGGGUAAUGAAGGUAUCGUACGAAUAAGCAUCGGCUAAACUCCGUGCCAGCAGCCGCGGUAAU